rnacentral:rRNA from 1 species
AUUGAACGCUGGCGGCAUGCCUUACACAUGCAAGUCGAACGGCAGCACGGGUGCUUGCACCUGGGGGCGAGUGGCGAACGGGUGAGUAAUACAUCGGAACAUGUCCUGUAGUGGGGGAUAGCCCGGCGAAAGCCGGAUUAAUACCGCAUACGAUCUACGGAUGAAAGCGGGGGACCUUCGGGCCUCGCGCUAUAGGGUUGGCCGAUGGCUGAUUAGCUAGUUGGUGGGGUAAAGGCCUACCAAGGCGACGAUCAGUAGCUGGUCUGAGAGGACGACCGGCCACACUGGGACUGAGACACGGCCCAGACUCCUACGGGAGGCAGCAGUGGGGAAUUUUGGACAAUGGGCGAAAGCCUGAUCCAGCAAUGCCGCGUGUGUGAAGAAGGCCUUCGGGUUGUAAAGCACUUUUGUCCGGAAAGAAAUCCUUGGCCCUAAUACGGUCGGGGGAUGACGGUACCGGAAGAAUAAGCACCGGCUAACUACGUG